rnacentral:rRNA from 1 species
AUUGAACGCUGGCGGAAUGCUUUACACAUGCAAGUCGAACGGCAGCACGGACUUCGGUCUGGUGGCGAGUGGCGAACGGGUGAGUAAUGUAUCGGAACGUGCCCAGUCGUGGGGGAUAACGUAGUGAAAAUUACGCUAAUACCGCAUACGAUCUAUGGAUGAAAGCGGGGGAUCGCAAGACCUCGCGCGAUUGGAGCGGCCGAUAGCAGAUUAGGUAGGUGGUGGGGUAAAGGCCCACCAAGCCAACGAUCUGUAGCUGGUCUGAGAGGACGGCCAGCCACACUGGAACUGAGACACGGUCCAGACUCCUACUGGAGGCAGCAGUGGGGAAUUUUGGACGAUGGGCGAAAGCCUGAUCCAGCCAUUCCGCGUGCAGGAUGAAGGCCCUCGGGUUGUAAACUGCUUUUGUACAGAACGAAAAGGUUUCUACUAAUACUAGGAGCUCAUGACGGUACUGUAAGAAUAAGCACCGGCUAACUACGUGCCAGCAGCCGCAGUAA